CACCCUGUGACAUACCUAAAACGUUGCCUCGGCGGGAACAGACGGCCCCGUAACACGGGCCGCCCCCGCCAGAGGACCCCCUAACUCUGUUUCUAUAAUGUUUCUUCUGAGUAAACAAGCAAAUAAAUUAAAACUUUCAACAACGGAUCUCUUGGCUCUGGCAUCGAUGAAGAACGCAGCGAAAUGCGAUAAGUAAUGUGAAUUGCAGAAUUCAGUGAAUCAUCGAAUCUUUGAACGCACAUUGCGCCCGCCAGUAUUCUGGCGGGCAUGCCUGUUCGAGCGUCAUUACAACCCUCAGGCCCCCGGGCCUGGCGUUGGGGAUCGGCGGAAGCCCCCUGCGGGCACAACGCCGUCCCCCAAAUACAGUGGCGGUCCCGCCGCAGCUUCCAUUGCGUAGUAGCUAACACCUCGCAACUGGAGAGCGGCGCGGCCACGCCGUAAAACACCCAACUUCUGAAUGUUGACCUCGAAUCAGGUAGGAAUACCCGCUGAACUUAAGCAUAUC
rnacentral:rRNA from 1 species